rnacentral:rRNA from 1 species
AUUGAACGCUGGCGGCAGGCCUAACACAUGCAAGUCGAGCGGCAGCACAAGGGAGUUUACUCCUGAGGUGGCGAGCGGCGGACGGGUGAGUAAUGCCUAGGGAUCUGCCCAGUCGAGGGGGAUAACAGUUGGAAACGACUGCUAAUACCGCAUACGCCCUACGGGGGAAAGGAGGGGACCUUUUGGCCUUCCGCGAUUGGAUGAACCUAGGCGGGAUUAGCUAGUUGGUGAGGUAAUGGCUCACCAAGGCGACGAUCCCUAGCUGGUCGGAGAGGAUUAUCAGCCACACUGGAACUGAGACACUGUCCAGACUCCUACGGGAGGCAGCAGUGGGGAAUAUUGCACAAUGGGGGAAACCCUGAUGCAGCCAUGCCGCGUGUGUGAAGAAGGCCUUCGGGUUGUAAAGCACUUUCAGCGAGGAGGAAAGGUUGGUAGCUAAUAAUUGCCAGCUGUGACGUUACUCGCAGAAGAAGCACCGGCUAACUCCGUGCCAGCCGCCGCGGUAAUAC